rnacentral:rRNA from 1 species
UCAAACCUCCUUGUCAAAGCCUGAUCUCAUCUGAGCUCAAAAGCUUACCAGGGUUGGGCCUGGUUAGUACCUGGAUGGGACACCGUUUGGAGUACCAGGUG